UACGAAGGGUGCAAGCGUUACUCGGAAUUACUGGGCGUAAAGCGUGCGUAGGUGGUUUGUUAAGUCUGAUGUGAAAGCCCUGGGCUCAACCUGGGAACGGCAUUGGAAACUGGCUUACUAGAGUGCGGUAGAGGGGUGUGGAAUUCCCGGUGUAGCAGUGAAAUGCGUAGAUAUCGGGAGGAACAUCUGUGGCGAAGGCGACACCCUGGACCAGCACUGACACUGAGGAGCGAAAGCGUGGGGAGCGAACAGG
rnacentral:rRNA from 1 species